UGUUUCUGCAGAGCCUCUUUUUGUUCCACCACCAACCUCCUCCUAUUUAACCUUCUUAUAAAUUGAUAAUUCCUGAGCAUAUAUCUCCUUUUUGCUUUAAAAUAAGAAUGUUUCAUUCCUUUUCUUCUCAUAAAAGCAAUACAUGGUCACUGUAAGAAAAUCAGAAAAUGCAAGUGAGCAAAUGAAGAGAGAAACAAGAAACAUCUGGAAAAUACUGUUCCUAGGCUCUCCCAAUGCCACGAUGCCAGCCAAAAAAACCUGACCUGUGAGGGGAGAAUGGUGUUCUUUCUCUACCAAGUUCGCUGCCUCUGGAAUUCACAGCAUGCUUUUAAUUUAAUUUCAUAGUAACUUAAUAUUCUCAGAAGAGUCCAGCCACAUGUCUCCUCUCUCAGCAGACCCAGCUCCUGUGCAGGAAGCAGUUCACAUGGCAGGGCAGGAUCGGGGCGUUUUUCUAGCUGGCAGUCUCUCCGUGGUGCUAAAAAAGCCAGACUCUUUUCACGUAGCGAAGGACCUUAUAGUUAAUUCACAGAAACUUCAUGUAUGGUGGGCUGUGGUCUUAUUUCUAGCAAAAGUGGCUGUCUCAUCUCUGAUUCUUAGCCAAUUGAAGAAAUAUUUUCAGUUUUCCACAAGGCAAGCAAUGCCAUUUUUCUGCCAGAGUUUCUACAAAUUGACUUGUAAAGGGUCUGUCACUAUGACUCCAGUCCACAAGGGUCCUGGGUGCAAAUUGGGACAGAAAACAAAUUUUCUUAGAAUUCAGCUGGUGUUCUGAAUUCUUAAGAUAAUAGUGACCACUGCACUUGACAAAUGAUUAGUGAUGUUUUAUAAUAUCUAUAAUGAUUGCCACUCAGUUACAGUCUUUGGUUGUUGGCUUGUGAAUUUCCUUCUUGAAACUUUUCAAGAAGCCCUAGACUACAGGAAAGAAAAGAGAGCUCAAAUUCAACACAGAACUCAGAGCCAGGGUCUCUCUUCCUGUUAUCAUUCUCUGCUUCCUGCAACUGUGCUUCUCAAAGACUCCCAAAGCCCCUCUGGCUCAACUCUAGAAGGAAAGCCCGAUUCUGGGCCUGGCUGCUUGUCUGCCUAGAAACCCUGUGAUAGAAUGUGUCAUUUCCCUCAUACCUUGAGGUUCUGGAUGAAUAUUUCAGAGUCCUCCAGAGAGGUGGCCAGAAAACCUGCAAAACAAAGCUGCAGUUUCCCCAACUGCUUUUCCUAGAGCCUGUGAGCCGGGAAAAAACUGAAUGCCCUUGAAACAGAAGGCCAAGAGACUCUCUGCCUGUUGUUGUUGUUCUUAUCAGAUUCAAAUUCAACAUACAUAAACAAUUUAGACCCGCACUGUCCAGUACAGACGCAACCAGCCACAAGUGGUUAUAUAAUAACAUAUUAGAUUAGUUAAAAUUGAAUAAAAUAAAUUGAACAUUCAUUUCAGCACUCACAUGAUCUAUGUUUCAAUUGCUCAUUAGCCACAUGUAGCCAGUGGCUACCAUACUAGAGAUUAUAUAUAUAGAAUAUUUCCAUCAUCGUAGAGUGUCCUAUUGGCCAAUGCUGGUCUAGACAUUUGUAAAUAUACUAUGUAUAUGAGUAUACAUGUAUAUACACAUAUAGACACGUUAUAUAUAUGUGCAUAUAUAAUGUAUAUGUAGGAUAAUUUAUCUUGCCAGCAACUGUUCAGGGCAGGAAUUAAUAGCUCAGAUCAUGCAAAUACUUGCCCACAACUGGACUCGUACUCUGAGACUCUUUGUGCUACCCUACACAGCUGUCCACUGCUGGGCUAGAGCCCAAUCUUUAGUUAUUCAUCACCUUACCUGUUUUGUUUCUGAUCUUGUUCUGAAUAAAUAGCACCAUCUUUGAGAAAUCCAGGUUAUGGCCCUCAUUACCCCGACCCGCAAAGUUGGCUUAAUGCCUGCUUUCCACCAAA
rnacentral:lncRNA from 1 species